rnacentral:ribozyme from 1 species
UACCCAAAAACAAAAAUAAAUAAAUAAAAGAAAGAAAAGAGGGAAACAAAACGAUCACCCCUUUCUUUUUUUCUUUUUCUCUUUCUUUU